AAAGACAGGUGAGGUUUGUUCAUCUCAUGCUUGUCUAAACAUCACAGUUUAACCGCAACCAAUGAGCUGCUAGAGAGAGCGAGAGAGCAGUUUUCCACUGACGUGGACCAAUCAGAUUAAAGAACACACAACCGCAUGAAAGAGCUUCAGCAGCACGAGCCGCUCAGCACCAGUGUCUGAGAUGGAGACAUCAAGAGUCGCUCUCAUCGCUCUCGUGUGUGUUGUGUUCUCCAGUCAGAAGAGGAUCUCUGGAGCAGAAGUGGAGAUGAGAGUCAGACGAGGAGACGACGUCACUCUCUACUGCGACUGUGUUUUUAAAAACGGAUUGAAUCCAGUGUGGUUUAGAAACUGCUCACAUCAAAAUCAACCUCGUUUCAUGAUCUCAAGUGAAGAUUUGAUGCAUGGUGCUUUUCCACGUUACUCAGUUGUGUUUAAUGACUCCAGCAACACACACAAUCUGCUGAUUAAGAACGUCACAGAAGCAGAUCAGGGCCUGUACUACUGCGCUCUACAUGAGACAAAUAUUUCAAAGGAUAAAAACGGCGUCAUCAUCGACAGGGACGUGUAUCAUUACGGAAACAGAUCCACUCGACUCUCUCUACUCGGUAAGAUUGUCUGAUAAUUCCUUCACUCACUUAUUGCUCAAGUUUUAUUGUCUUUGCUGAUAUUUUGAAAUAUUAUGUGUUUUCAUCAGAGAAGGUCUCUCCAUGCUUAACUCUCUCUCCAAGCACCCCGACCCCGAGUGUAUCAGAGCCGAGUGUUAGCUGGAAGCUGGUGUUCAGUGUGUGUGUGUGUGUGUGUGUGUGUGUGUGUGUUCCUCAGCAGAACCCUGUCGCAGUGUGUGUGAGCCGAGUGUAUCAGAGCCGUGUGUUAGCUGGAAGCUGGUGUUCAGUGUGUGUGUGUGUGUGUGUGUGUGUGUGUGUGUGUGUGUGUGUGUGUGUGUGUGUGUGUGUGUUCCUCAGCAGAACCCUGUCGCAGUGUGUGUGAGCCGAGUGUAUCAGAGCCGAGUGUUAGCUGGAAGCUGGUGUUCAGUGUGUGUGUUGUGUGUGUUCUCCUCUCCUCACUCCUCUCCUCUGUGUGUACUGCCUCUGCACAAACACCACUAAAGCAAAAGCCAAAGCUGAUCUGGCAGGAAGUGACAAAAGGACGACUCGGAGAUGUGAUGAGGUUGGAGAAGAUGAGGUCUGUUACGCCGCUUUGGACAUCCAGAACAUUGAGAAGAAGAAGACGAAGAGGAAGAAGAAGAGAGUUCAGCACUCUGAUUUCAGCACAUAUUCAGAGGUCAGAACUGAGAGAACUGAGGGAUGCUGAGGAGGCGUUAAUGAAAUGUGUAUUACAUCACAGUGUAUGAUUUUGAUAAACUGUUUUUACAUCCUUAAUGACAUUAAUCAUCCAGAGUGAAAUGAAGUUUAAGUGCUUACUGUCGUAUUCUUGCUGAUGUGAAAAAUGUGUGAAUGGAAAAAAAAAGAAAAAAAAGGUUCAUGUCUGAAUAAUGUAUAACACAGAACCUGCAGUACGUCCAAAUAAAGUUACUGCUUGUGGGAUUUUACCUUCAA